CUGCGGCGUCUAUACAUGCAGUCGAGCGCGGGAAGCAGGCAGAUCCUCUUCGGAGGUGACGCCUGUGGAACGAGCGGCGGACGGGUGAGUAACACGUGGGCAACCUGCCUGUAAGACUGGGAUAACCCCGGGAAACCGGGGCUAAUACCGGAUAAUACUUUUCGUUGCAUAACGAGAAGUUGAAAGGCGGCUUUUAGCUGUCACUUACAGAUGGGCCCGCGGCGCAUUAGCUAGUUGGUAAGGUAACGGCUUACCAAGGCGACGAUGCGUAGCCGACCUGAGAGGGUGAUCGGCCACACUGGGACUGAGACACGGCCCAGACUCCUACGGGAGGCAGCAGUAGGGAAUCUUCCGCAAUGGACGAAAGUCUGACGGAGCAACGCCGCGUGAGUGAUGAAGGUUUUCGGAUCGUAAAACUCUGUUGUCAGGGAAGAACAAGUGCCGUUCAAAUAGGGCGGCACCUUGACGGUACCUGACCAGAAAGCCCCGGCUAACUACGUGCCAGCAGCCGCGGUAAUACGUAGGGGGCAAGCGUUGUCCGGAAUUAUUGGGCGUAAAGCGCGCGCAGGCGGUCCUUUAAGUCUGAUGUGAAAGCCCACG
rnacentral:rRNA from 1 species